rnacentral:rRNA from 1 species
UUAAACUGAAGAGUUUGAUCCUGGCUCAGAUUGAACGCUGGCGGCAUGCCUUACACAUGCAAGUCGAACGGCAGCACGGAGCUUGCUCUGGUGGCGAGUGGCGAACGGGUGAGUAAUAUAUCGGAACGUACCCUGGAGUGGGGGAUAACGUAGCGAAAGUUACGCUAAUACCGCAUACGAUCUAAGGAUGAAAGUGGGGGAUCGCAAG